rnacentral:rRNA from 1 species
GUCUUUUAUUGAAUAUAUUUAAAAGUCUGGCCUGCCCAGUGAUUAUUUAAACGGCCGCAGUAUUUUGACUGUGCUAAGGUAGCAUAAUCAUUAGUUUUUUAAUUGAGAACUGGAAUGAAAGGUUAAAUGGAAAAAUAACUGUCUUCAAUUUAGUUUUUUGAAUUUUACUUUUAAGUAAAAAGGCUUAAAUUUUAUUAAAAGACGAGAAGACCCUUUAGAGUUUUAUUUAAAAGUUAAAUUAAUUUUGUUGGGAAAUAUUUUAGUUUAAUUUUUAUAUUUGAUUGGGGUGAUUAUUAAAUUUAAUUAACUUUAAUUUUUAAAAACAUUGGUUUAUGGAAAUUUGAUCCUUAUAAUAGAUUAAUAGAUUAAAUUACCUAAGGGAUAACAGCGUAAUUUUUUUAGAGAGUUCAAAUCGAUAAAGAAGAUUGCGACCUCGAUGUUGGAUUAAAAUAUGUAAUUAGGUGCAGAAGCUAAUUAACUUGGUCUGUUCGACCAAUAAAAUUUUACA